GAAUGGUCGGCAGAGUAACUGUUGUCGGCGUGACGGUUAUCCCACCAGAAAAGCACGGCUAACUACGUGCCAGCAGCCGCGGUAAUACGUAGGUGGCAAGCGUUAUCCGGAUUUAUUGGGCGUAAAGCGAGCGCAGGCGGUUUUUUAAGUCUGAUGUGAAAGCCCUCGGCUUAACCGAGGAAGUGCAUCGGAAACUGGGAAACUUGAGUGCAGAAAGAGGACAGUGGAACUCCAUGUGUAGCGGUGAAAUGCGUAGAUAUAUGGAAGAACACCAGUGGCGAAGGCGGCUGUCUGGUCUGUAACUGACGCUGAGGCUCGAAAGCAUGGGUAGCGAACAGGAUUAGAUACCCUGGUAGUCCAUGCCGUAAACGAUGAAUGCUAGGUGUUGGAGGGUUUCCGCCCUUCAGUGCCGCAGCUAACGCAUUAAGCAUUCCGCCUGGGGAGUACGACCGCAAGGUUGAAACUCAAAGGAAUUGACGGGGGCCCGCACAAGCGGUGGAGCAUGUGGUUUAAUUCGAAGCAACGCGAAGAACCUUACCAGGUCUUGACAUCUUUUGAUCACCUGAGAGAUCAGGUUUCCCCUUCGGGGGCAAAAUGACAGGUGGUGCAUGGUUGUCGUCAGCUCGUGUCGUGAGAUGUUGGGUUAAGUCCCGCAACGAGCGCAACCCUUAUGACUAGUUGCCAGCAUUUAGUUGGGCACUCUAGUAAGACUGCCGGUGACAAACCGGAGGAAGGUGGGGAUGACGUCAAAUCAUCAUGCCCCUUAUGACCUGGGCUACACACGUGCUACAAUGGAUGGUACAACGAGUUGCGAGACCGCGAGGUCAAGCUAAUCUCUUAAAGCCAUUCUCAGUUCGGACUGUAGGCUGCAACUCGCCUACACGAAGUCGGAAUCGCUAGUAAUCGCGGAUCAGCCCGCCCCGGUGAAUACGUUCCCGGGCCUUGUACACACCGCCAGGCGCUCCACAGAGUUUGUAACACCCGAACCCGGUGGCGUAACCCUUUUAGGGAGCGCGCCGUCUAAUGGGAUUAAAAAUAA
rnacentral:rRNA from 2 species